CCUGUCUCAGCCUCCCGAGUAGCUGGGAUUACGGGUGCCCGCCACCACUGCCAGCUAAUUUUUGUGUUUUUAGUAGAUCACUUGAAUUUAUGAGUUCAAGACCAGCCUGGGCAACAUGGUGAAAUCCUGUCUCUACCAAAAAUACAAAAAAUUAACCAAGCAUAGUGGUGUGUGCCUGUGGUCCCAACUAUUCAGGAGGCUGAAGUGGGA
rnacentral:lncRNA from 1 species